UACGGAGGUGGCAAGCGUUGUCCGGAAUUAUUGGGCGUAAAGCGCGCGCAGGCGGCUUUUUAAGUCGGAUGUGAAAUCCCCCGGCUCAACCGGGGAGGGCCAUUGGAAACUGGGAGGCUUGAGUAUAGGAGAGAAGAGUAGAAUUCCACGUGUAGCGGUGAAAUGCGUAGAGAUGUGGAGGAACACCAGUGGCGAAGGCGACUCUUUGGCCUAUAACUGACGCUGAGGCACGAAAGCGUGGGGAGCAAACAGC
rnacentral:misc_RNA from 1 species